rnacentral:RNase_P_RNA from 4 species
AAAGUAGACCAGGCGGUCGCUCCUUUCCCUGUUGGUAAGGCUUAGGCCGAACUAACCAACAUAGUGGAAAGGGGAGGAAAGUCCGAACUCCACAGGGCAGGGUGGUCCGUAACACGGACUCCGAGCGAUCGGAGGAAAGUGCCACAGAAAACACACAGCCAAUCCGCUUCUGAUGGGAUAACCUGUCAGAAGGUCAUGGAGGCAACGGUGAAAAGGUGGUUCCCGUUAACUGCGGGAAAAAGUAAGAGACCACCGCUCCGAGGGUGACCUCGGAGGCAGGGUAAACCCCACCCGGAGCAAGACCAAGUAGUUUCGCCUCCAGGGAGGACUGGAAUAAGGUGGCCCGCCAAAAUCUCGAUUUGCUUCGAGAGGCGAAACGGGUAGGUCGCUUGAGCCUGUUGGCAACAACAGGCCCAGAUAAAUGGCCGCCUCGUUCCAUUUGAAUCUGGUUGACCAGAAAGAAUGGAAUCAGACAGAAUUCGGCUUAUCGGUCUACUUUGAUG